GAANCUGCGGAAGGAUCAUUACCGAGAGAGGGGCUUCGCGCUCCCGGGGGUUUCGGCCCCCAACUCUUCACCCUUUGCCUACCUACCUUUGUUGCUUUGGCGGACCGCGAAGCCUCUUUCGCGCUGGCUUUCGUGCCAGUGAGCGUCCGUCAGAGGCCCAUUUAAAUCCUAUUUAUUGAUUAGUGACGUCCGAGUAAACAUACAUGAAUAGUAAAAACUUUCAACAACGGAUCUCUUGGUUCCAGCAUCGAUGAAGAACGCAGCGAAAUGCGAUAAGUAAUGUGAAUUGCAGAAUUCAGUGAAUCAUCGAAUCUUUGAACGCACAUUGCGCCCCUCGGUAUUCCGGAGGGCAUGCCUGUUCGAGCGUCAUUGCACCCCUCAAGCGUAGCUUGGUAUUGGGCCCUCGCCCCCACGGCGUGUCCGAAAAGCAGUGGCGGUCCGGUGCGACUUUAAGCGUAGUAAUUCUCUCCCGCUUUGAAAGUUCGCGCCGCGGCCGGCCAGACAACCCCAUUUGCCUCUAUAAUUGACCUCGNNAUCAGGUAGGGAUACCCGCUGAACUUAA
rnacentral:rRNA from 1 species